AAAUUUAACUAUUAGCAGAAGAAGUAACUUGACUGCAAAAUUUUCAGAGACUUGUCGGUGAUUGCGAGACAAGAGUUUUGUCAAGUGAAUGGGCUGCGAUCAUGCGUGAAGAUGCUUUAAAACCUGUAGGUUAGUGAGCAUCUUCAUUCAAAUCUGAUUCGAAACGAUAAGAAUCACGUCAGUGCUCGAUACCGCACAUUCCCUUGCUUGAGGGAAAUAAGAGAUAGGGAAAUACUAUUUUAAGUUAGGUUUUUUCUCUAUAAUCGAGGUGGCACCGCGUGUGAUAACGUCCUCGAC
rnacentral:ncRNA from 1 species